GAUCAUGGCUCAGGAUGAACGCUGGCGGCGUGCUUAACACAUGCAAGUCGAACGAAGUUAGAGAGCUUGCUUUUAAACUAGUGGCGGACGGGUGAGUAACGCGUGGGUAACCUGCCUUUCACAGGGGGAUAACAGUUAGAAAUGACUGCUAAUACCGCAUAAGCGCACAGGACGGCAUCGUCUAGUGUGAAAAAACUCCGGUGGUGAAAGAUGGACCCGCGUCUGAUUAGCUAGUUGGUGAGGUAACGGCUCACCAAGGCGACGAUCAGUAGCCGGCCUGAGAGGGUGAACGGCCACAUUGGGACUGAGACACGGCCCAAACGUCCUACGGGAGGCAGCAGUGGGGAAUAUUGCACAAUGGGGGAAACCCUGAUGCCAGCGACGCCGCGUGAGUGAAGAAGUAUUUCGGUAUGUAAAGCUCUAUCAGCAGGGAAGAAAAUGACGGUACCUGACUAAGAAGCCCCGGCUAACUACGUGCCAGCCGCCGC
rnacentral:rRNA from 1 species